GACGAACGCUGGCGGCGUGCUUAACACAUGCAAGUCGAGGGCACUAUUGGGGCAACCUGGUAGUGACCGGCGAACGGGUGCGUAACACGUGAGCGACCUUGCCUCGUGGUGGGGGAUAGCCGGCCCAACGGCCGGGUAAUACCGCAUAUGGUGCUGUCUUCGCACGGAGACGGUAGCAAAGCUGUGUCGCAAGACAUGGCGCCACAGGGGGGGCGUCGCGGCCGUA
rnacentral:rRNA from 1 species